rnacentral:lncRNA from 1 species
UGAAGCUUUGUGUGAUCAGUCACUUAGUUAUUAUCGACUGAGAGGAACAAAAGAGGAGAAGUGAGAGCGACUGAAACUUCUUUCUCAUCUUCAUUUCCGAAGCUGCGCGAAAGAGUGAGAGUGAAGGAGCAAUUCUGGUGCCUUCCAGCCGCAACCGAGUGAGUGUUAAGAGGAGGAAGUCUGGAGUGAUCACCGAGGGAAGGAAUGAGAACCGACAGCAGGCUUCACCAUUUAUUCAACCUUUUAUCAUCCUAAACCGAGAGCUAAGUGAGUGGAAGAGGAGAAACCAGCUUGCAACUUCAAAUAUUAGCUGCAACUGUGAGGAAAAUAGUUGGAGCAAGAGCUAGAGGAACCGAAACAGAGUGUGAAGCCUUCUUACUUUCCCAACCUCAAAACCGUGGAAAAAGGUGUGAGUGAGGGAGAGAAAACUUGUUAGAUUCAUUACUUAUUAGCUUCAAUCGAGUGAGAAUGAAGUAAAUAGAAGGAAAAGAGGAUCGGUGCUGUUUGAAGGAGCCGAGGCGGAAAAGCUAGUGCAUUCUGCAAUUUCAGAUUCUUGAAUGAAAAAAAAAGAGGUAAAACUCUGUAAUAAACUCUUACUCAACUAAUAUGUACGAUACUUAAGCUGCAUGUUAAAAUUUAGUAAGGAAAAUGAGUUCUUAACCAAGGAAAUUUCUGCAUAGAAGAUGAAUAAGUUAUUGGACAGAGAUUGAAAGAAACCUGCUGGAAUUUUAGCUUCAUCCGAGUAGGGGAAAUGAAGAAGUUCCAGCUGUCCUUAUGGAUUUUGGUCUUGAAAUUUUAUAUUAAGCUGUAAUAUAUUGUAUAAUACAUUGGUCUUAACAUGCAUGCAAGAUUUAAGUCUAAAAUGAGGAGUUUACUGGGGAAUUUUCUUGUCUUAAUGGCUGAUUGCUGCUAGAACUCAUCCAACAUGGCCGAGAGAGGAAGUAGAGUUUGGUUCAGUUUUUCUCUUCAAAUUCUUGGCAGUAAACUUCAUAUUGCUGCUUAAAAACUCUAUAGUUUGAUAAUUACUCUCUGCAUGUUAAGUUGGGGGUGAGGAAAAGGAAGAAAGUGAGGGAAACAGUCUUGUACUUAACUGCCGAACUGCUGGAAGUUGCAUUUAGCUGAGGACAGAAUUAAUUGUUGCUUUCGUUGGGAUUAUUUUCUCAAAUUACAUGUUAUUUGUUUUAGUUUAGGUAGGACAGAGUGUAUACGGAGUGUUGAGUGUUUUAACCAAGUAAAAGAUGGAACUUCGUUGAAAACUUUGAGGUAAUGUUGCUGGAAAUCUGUUUGUCGGCCGAGAGAGGGAGGAGAUGAAGCUCCUAUGACAUUUCGAAAAAUUCCAGGAUGAUUGGUUGUAAUCUUGUAUAAAACAUCUUAUAACAUCUUGACCCUAUCAUUCACGUUCAUUUUAGUGAAUUUGAGACCUGAAAAGCAGAUGAAAUCUGAGAGAACUUAAACAACAAAGUUGAUUGGAAAUUGAUUUGGCCGAGAGAGAAAAAGUGAAAAGUUUUUCCAGUUCUACUCUUUAAGUUGGUUUGAAAAUUGAAAAUGAUUUAAUCUCAGUCUAAAUAUUUCACAAGACUUUGAAUUUGGUGUAUUUGUAUAUAUUCAUCAUUCUUAGUAAUAAACUUAACAAAUCUUGACGAGAAAUGUGAGAAAGAUUGUUGGAAUUUCGUAUCUUGUUUAAUAAGCUAAGAAACAUGGUUUCUAAUAAUCUAAACUUUAAAUGUGGUGAGUGAUUGGUGGCCGGAAAUCAAGUUAAAUGGUUGAAUUGGUAAUGAGAUGAAGACUUAUAUACUGUUUUAGAAACUCUAAGGUAAUUUGUUAUGGCUAUAUACACGAAAUGGCUCCUAAUCACUUAAAUUAGUCUUUAUAAUAUUUAAGAGACUAUAAAACUUGAGAAGUUAAGGUUGUGAAACAAAAUUUAAUUCACAAAUAACCUAGAGCUUAGUUAGUCUUAAAAGGGAAGAUGGAGUGUCUAUAAGCCAUAAUUAAUACUGGAUUGAGAAAGUAUAUUAGUUUAAACAUUUUACAAGUUUAUAAACUUGAAAUGUAUGUAUAUUUCUUUGGUUUCUGUUGAGAUUUGGUGCUUAAAUCAUGUUAAAAUUGAUGGUAUGAAUGUCAUACUUAAAUGUAUGAAUGGUUUGAAUAAAAGUCUUGUGGUGUUAAAAGAGAAAAAGGAGUUUUUCACAAGUGAAAAAUGAGUUUCCAGAUUUUCGGAUUUCAAUGACCAGUCUCAAUAAAAUGCUUAUAUCUGGGUGUAGGAAAAUCCGUUUGAGGUGCUGUUAGUGGCAUUUGAAACUAGAAUCAUGGACCUUUGUUUUGUAAAAAUUUCAUAUUUUCCUCCAUGUGUACUGCUGUCCGUGACUCCUCAAAGUAGGCUGUCCUGCUUGAAUGUCCUGUUUCUUCAAGAAAAGGAAAUUUUGACUUGGAUCGGAUAUUUGGCAUAUUUGUGAUUUGAAUCUCUGAAAAGUGUCUUCUGGGAUGUGAUAGUACUAAAAAUCUAUUUUACAACAGUAUAACUUUCAUAAUUGUUUGAUUUGUGGAACUUGAGUUGCGAAUUUUUAAAGUUUACUGUCACUAUUCAUCUCCGUAGAUUCCUGAAACAUAGAAAUUGGCUUCUUGACUUUAAAACCUCAGACGGCCUACUUCCAACCUCUCACCUUGAUUUUUUUUCCACUUCCUUGACAUCAAAUAUAUCCCUAUUGAACUUCUCUCGCUAAUGUAUCUCUCAUUUCCUCAAAGUUUUACUCUUUUAACAAAUUACCUUAAUUAAAGCGGUCAAGACUUGUACUUAGCUUUUAGCCACCAUUUCCGAAAUUCUAGAGUUAUUUGUGAGUUAAACGGGCCGUGACUUUCUUUUAUAUUUUGGGUUAAAUUUCUGGUUGUUUUGUGUAAGGAAUGAUUGUUUGUCGUCAAGAGCUAAUGAUUGAUGAAACUCUUGGUCAUUUGAGUAAUUUUUGCAAGAGUUAAAUUCUUGGUGGAAUGUUUAAGUUGUUUGGCCGAAAUGUACUUGGAAGGCCAUGACCUGUGAUUUGGAAUUGUUUUGAUAUCUUGGACUUCCUUUGUUUAAUUUGGAAUAGAAUCGAACCUGUUGAAACCUAGGGUUAAUGAUUGAUGAAGCCUAGUGAAAUUGAUGUUUGAGUUGUGAUUUUGCUAUAUUGGCAAGUUGGAAUAUAAUGUGCAAAUGAUUCGGAGUCGUGAAGUCCGUUUUGAUCCUUUGAAUUGAGUACUUUUUAACCAAACUUUGUUGAAAUAUUUUGUUCCAGUACUAAGCUAUAGAAAUUGAGUAUAGUACAAUAAUGCUAAAAUUCGAGUAUCGGGACUUGUAAAAUCCUACCAGCUAGUUAAUUCCUUUCUUUGCUUAAACUAGCCUUAUUAUUUUUGGGAAAUAAUUGCACUAACUUCCAAACUCUAAAUUUUUCAUAAAAUUGUCCCUGGCUAGUUGUUUUAGAGAAAACUUGUCAAAAACACGAGAUUUUAAUAACUUUAACUAAAAAGCGUGGGAAAACUUGUUCGGCAAGAAACCCUACGAAAUAUUUUAACACUUUUACUAGUUUUGAUUUUUAAGCAAAUUGUUGAUUCAGUUUCGAAAGGAUAAACUAGUUAUAUACACAGACAACUUUUCCUACGUAACCCUAGAACUGGUAUAGCCAACUUAUAGUUUUUAAAAUUUGAUAUUUUAGGGUUUAGCGAGGACGCGAAUUUCGAUUCUCAACUUGACCUCUGAACUUCACUCUUGGUGAGUGUCCCUGCCUGUUUUAUGACUAUUUGGUUAAAGUGCUUUAUCGACUCGUUAUGUGAUAAUUGCCAAAAAUGAAUGCUGAUCCAUCGAAGUGAGCAGUGUGUACUUUAUCACACUAGCCUUUCGAGUGGUGACUUGCUUGAAGUGUUUUCCGUGAAUAUCUUGCUUGCGCUUGCUAAGUGCUAAAUUACUAGGCAGGGGAAUGUACCACACCUUAAGGGUGGGAAGGCCUCUUAUCCUGACCUGGUAAUCAAGUGUUGGACGUAAAGUCGUUUGGUGAAUCCCUCGACCAGUCUAUAAAUGUUGGACGUAAAGUCGUUGGGUGAAUCCCUCGACCAGUCUACAAAUGUUGGACGUAAAGUCAUUGGGUGAAUCCCUCAACCAGUCUAUAAGUGUUGGACGUAACGUCGUUGGGUGAAUCCCUCGACCAGUCUAAGGUAUACUCGAGUAUUAUCGCUUCCCUAUUUGUUUACUUCAGUCGAAUCAAUACGUGUUAAUUGUUUUAAUUGAUUGCAUGUUUUUGGGGCACCACUGAACUUUAGCUCACCCCACGUUAUUUUGUUUUCCUUGACAGGUUCUGGCAUGUGAGAAAGACCUGAAAUCUACUUUACUUGUUAUGAAUGUAAUUCGAAUUAAACAGUGUAGUUUUGUUUUGGGUUGCCACUUGAAGCUGGAGAAGUGCAAACCCUGAUUUUGUUACUUGGCUUGUAAGAAUGUAUGUGGCUUGUAUGACUUUGUUAAAUGGGAAUGUUUGACUUUAUUCCGUGGUUUGUAAUGCGUAAGGUAUUUAAGAA